GGGGAUGUGACCUAGUGGUAGGGUGCUUGCCGGGCAUGUGCAAAACCUUGGGUUCAAUUCCCAACAUCCACA
rfam:Ictidomys tridecemlineatus contig066246, whole genome shotgun sequence.